GGGAACGCGCGUGGCUCAGGUGGAGCGCCUUCUCUGGCGGCGGUGGCAAGGUCGAUCCAAAUUGACGGCGAAGCUUCAGGCGAAAAGCGGUACAGAACCAAUCGUCGCCGACACCAGCAAGGAGGCUUAGGACCAUGGAGGAAAGAAAAAUGUAGGAGGGAGCAUUACGCCACACAGCCAGCCUUCGCAAGCGAACGCUCCGUGAAGCCACAGUGAUGACCCAACAGGAACCGGUGCACCUCUGCACAGAAGCCACGACUCUCCAGCAGCACAAUCCUUCGGAAUAAGAUUCCUCACUUGCAUCGGCUCCUCAAGUUCAAGACUUCAAAAGUGCUGUUAUUCAUUACAUUCAAACGCAGACACCUAUUCAAUACU